GGUGAGGUGGGCGCGCGCAGCCCUCUCUUCCGGUCUUUAGGACAUCAUGGCGGCGUUGCUGGUGGCGGUGGCAGUAUGUUGGCCAGCAAGGGGAAGAACACCCUUCGCACUCACCUUCCCAGGAGACUGAGUUGUUCACCGGGCUGGUAGAAUCAGCAGCACAAAGGAGGAAAACAUGGUUUAGAACCCUGGGGUUGUGUCAUCCCCCAGAGACGGCUUUGGCGAGAAGGCAGCUGUCAAUUUGGACCUCAAACUGAACUCAUGUCUGUUUGUAGAAGAUCAGUACUGCUCACUGAUGGGCUGAACCAGCACGCUUGACGACAGCACGCUUCCGUAGGAAAUCAAGGACCUGAUUUCCCCCAUCCAGCUGCACGUGGUUCCUGCAGCCUGCUGUUUCAGAAUGAAUAAAAUCAUCAACAGUCCUGA